GAGUGAUAUCGCCAAAACUUGAACCAAUUUCGGUGAAAAUAAAUACAAUGGUUCGGCGAUCCGGGCAAGCUAUAGCUCGUUUGAAUCGUCUUUCAAUUCUGAGAAAUAGGUAUCAUUUACUUUUUCGGUUAGUUACCCAUUUUCGGAGUGAACAAGUGAAAAGUGAUUGCAUGUCAAAAGGUGGUGAAAACAGUUGUUUUGUGAUAGCUCGAGAUAGUCAUGUUUCUAAAAGUUGAAAUUUUCUAGGAAUGUAGGCCUUUGACAGACCUUCAUGAAAACUAUAAUCAUCGGACUUAUGACAAAAAAUA